GACGAACGCUGGCGGCGUGCCUAAUACAUGCAAGUCGAACGAGCGGCGGACGGGUGAGUAAUGUCUGGGAAACUGCCUGAUGGAGGGGGAUAACUACUGGAAACGGUAGCUAAUACCGCAUACCAUCAGAUGUGCCCCGAUGGGAUGAGCUGGUAGGGGGGGUAACGGCUCACCUGGGCGACGAUCCCUAGCUGGGCUGAGAGGAUGACCAGCCAGACUGUAACUGAGACACGGUCCAGACUCCUACGGGAGGCAGCAGUGGGGAGUCUUGCACAAGAGGCGCAAGCCUGAUGCAGCCAUGCCGCGUGUGUGAAGAAGGCCUUCGGGUUGUAAAGCACUUUCAGCGGGGAGGCGUUACCCGCAGAAGAAGCACCGGCUGACUCCGCGCCAGCAGCCGCGGUAAUAC
rnacentral:rRNA from 1 species